GGCCUAUCAGCUUGUUGGUGGGGUAAUGGCCUACCAAGGCGUCGACGGGUAGCCGGCCUGAGAGGGUGAUCGGCCACAUUGGGACUGAGACACGGCCCAGACUCCUACGGGAGGCAGCAGUGGGGAAUAUUGCACAAUGGGCGCAAGCCUGAUGCAGCGACGCCGCGUGGGGGAUGACGGCCUUCGGGUUGUAAACUCCUUUCGACAGGGACGAAG
rnacentral:rRNA from 1 species